AAAUACAUGUUUUAUAUGUAUUUUUGUGUGAUUUCUUCUAUUGGUAGGAAGGUUGGAUUUUGUCAUGAAUCCGUGGUCGAUCGAGACGAAACGAAAUCGCAGCUUUGUUGUCUCUGUCGUGCUGAUCGCACUGGUGUGAUCCGUUCGCAAAUCUGACGGACGGAUCUGCGGAGAUCGCGCGUUGAUCGAGAAGAGGUCGGUAGUGGCAAAACGGUAUUUUCGCAAAAGUCGCGAUAUUUUAUGUACCGUUUCGCGUG
rnacentral:lncRNA from 1 species